CGGCGGCGACGGGUAUUUAAACACCGCCUUUUGAAAUAUACAGAGUUGCAGAGCGAAGUGCAGCAAAGGAAAUGAAAAAAAUAUUCCAAAUAAGAGGAGGAUGAGGAUGAGAAGAAAUAAAAAUACCCAAAGAGGAGAGCGAUGAUCCUUUUGCCAUUUUUAAAAAAGUUAUUAAAGGCCGCCUGAAGGGGAGGAGGCCUUUGCAGCAGGCAUGCAAGGAGUAACCUCACCCCACCCCCCUUCCCGGUUCAAUAUCCCUUGUGAGCGACUACUAAAGCAAUCUAGCUGAGAAAGAGGAGGACGUGAGCUAGCGAAACAGAAAGGGCUGGAGCUGAUGAUGAAACAGAGCCACGGCCCUGCGUGAGCAGAAGGCUAGUUUUCAUCAUACCAUCGCAGCCCCCCACCGCACAAAAACAACAGAGAAACCACCACCACCCCAGCAAGUUUGGAAAGGGGAGGGAGGGGUGCUGAGAACUCCUAUGGCGAACUUAUGGUCGAUCGAUGCUUAAGAAUGUUGCGCAAGAGACGUUGUAUCGCUGCUGGAUAAAGCUUCUUUCACCUUGGAACGAAAUCUACAUUUCACUUCUAUCUAGCAUGGGGCAAUGCUCACAAAACAAUGUGCUUGCCAAGAAUUCUUCUGCCUUUCUACAGAGAAAUCACAGUGCAGAUUUUGGGCCGGGCCGCAGCGGAGGAAGAGAGAGGAAAAAUGCUCAAAACAGCUAAAUUACGCUCCAGACCCCCGCUGAAAAGCGGAACUCAUUGAAUCGAAUGGUGCGUGAUGCCCGAAAACAGCCGUAAAAGCGGAACAAGCACCAUAUGAGUGGGGCUUUAGUCUAAUUGCAUCUGACUGAGACUGCUGCAUUAGUGAAGUGCUGUAAAGCGGGGUACUGUACAUGAAAAACCACACUGUAAAAGAAAAAAAUGGCUCAUCUGAUGUCAUGG